CCUACGGGUGGCAGCAGUAGGGAAUAUUGCUCAAUGGGGGAAACCCUGAAGCAGCAACGCCGCGUGGAUGAUGAAGGUUUUCGGAUUGUAAACUCCUUCUGUUAGAGAAGAUAAUGACGGUAUCUAACGAAUAAGCACCGGCUAACUCCGUGCCAGCAGCCGCGGUAAUACGGAGGGUGCAAGCGUUACUCGGAAUCACUGGGCGUAAAGCGCGCGUAGGCGGGAUAGAAAGUCAGAUGUUAAAUCCUAGGGCUUAACCAUAGAACUGCAUUUGAAACUGUUAUUCUAGAGUAUGGGAGAGGUAGGUGGAAUUCUUGGUGUAGGGGUAAAAUCCGUAGAGAUCAAGAGGAAUACGCAUUGCGAAGGCGAGCUGCUAGAACAUAACUGACGCUGAUGAGCGAAAGCGUGGGGAGCAAACAGGAUUAGAUACCCCAGUAGUC
rnacentral:rRNA from 1 species